rnacentral:rRNA from 1 species
AGUAACCUGCCUUGGAGUGGGGAAUAACAGCUGGAAACAGCUGCUAAUACCGCAUAAUAUGUCUGAAUCGCAUGGUUCUGGACAUCAAAGAUUUAUCGCUCUGAGAUGGACUCGCGUCUGAUUAGCUGGUUGGCGGGGUAACGGCCCACCAAGGCGACGAUCAGUAGCCGGACUGAGAGGUUGGCCGGUCACAUUGGGACUGAGACACGGCCCAGACUCCUACGGAAGGCAGCAG